rnacentral:snoRNA from 15 species
AGUUGUGGUGGUUUUCUUUCUGGUGCAUUCAUUAAGUUUUCAAAUGGGCCUGAUUCUGCCACAUAUAAUAUAGAGGAACUGGCAAAGGCUUGAUGAAAAAGAGAUUUUUUGCUAGCCUUUCACAUACCAGUUUGGUUCCCAUAUGU